rnacentral:rRNA from 1 species
UACGUAGGGGGCAAGCGUUGUCCGGAAUUAUUGGGCGUAAAGAGCGCGUAGGCGGUCCGAUAAGUCGGCUGUGAAAGUCAGGGGCUCAACCCUUGAAAGCCGGCCGAUACUGUCGGACUAGAGUCCGGAAGAGGCAAGUGGAAUUCCCGGUGUAGCGGUGAAAUGCGCAGAUAUCAGGAGGAACACCGGUGGCGAAGGCGGGUCUCUGGGCAGUAACUGACGCUCAUGCACGAAAGCGUGGGGAGCAAACAGG